UACGUAGGUGGCAAGCGUUGUCCGGAAUCAUUGGGCGUAAAGCGCGCGUAGGCGGCCCGGUAAGUCCGUUGUGAAAGUCAAAGGCUCAACCUUUGAACGCCGAUGGAUACUGCCGGGCUAGAGUCCGGAAGAGGCGAGUGGAAUUCCUGGUGUAGCGGUGGAAUGCGCAGAUAUCAGGAGGAACACCGGUGGCGAAGGCGGUUCUCUGGGCAUUACCUGACGCUGAGGAGCGAAAGUGUGGGGAGCGAACAGG
rnacentral:rRNA from 1 species